CGCGGCGUGGGGCGGCGCGGCGCACCUGCGAGCCGCGGGGCGCCGAGGGGGGCGGGCGCCGAGGAGGCGACGGGAGGCGCGGAGGCGACGGGAGGCGCGGAGCGAGCCGGCGCCCGCGCAGCCCGCCCCGGCGUGCCCAGGCGCCGCGGCCCCGAGGAGAUGGAGCAGGAGAAGUACCUGCCCGAGCUGAUGGCAGAGAAGGACAGCCUGGAUCCCUCCUUUGUUCACGCCAUGCGCCUCCUGGCCGACGAAAUUGAAAAAUUUCAGGGUUCUGAAGGCAAGAAAGAAGAUGAAGAAAAGAAAUAUCUUGAUGUUAUCAGCAACAAAAACAUAAAGCUGUCAGAAAGAGUUCUGAUCCCUGUCAAACAAUAUCCAAAGUUCAAUUUUGUUGGGAAAUUGCUUGGACCAAGGGGAAACUCCUUGAAGAGGUUACAAGAAGAAACCGGAGCAAAAAUGUCCAUCCUGGGGAAAGGAUCCAUGAGGGACAAAGCUAAGGAGGAAGAACUAAGGAAAAGUGGAGAAGCCAAAUAUGCACACCUGAGUGAUGAGCUUCACGUAUUAAUUGAAGUGUUUGCUCCACCUGGGGAGGCGUAUUCUCGUAUGAGUCAUGCCUUGGAAGAAAUAAAAAAAUUCCUCGUCCCUGAUUAUAAUGAUGAAAUUCGCCAGGAGCAGCUGAGAGAACUGUCAUAUUUGAACGGCUCUGAGGAUUCAGCACGUGGACGGGGCAUUCGAGGAAGAGGGAUCCGUGUGCCACCUGCAGCACCUUCAAGGGGACGUGGGGGUGCGAUUCCUCCACCCCCACCCGGACGAGGUGCCCAAGCACCCAGAGGAGCACCGGUGACCCGUGGAGCCCUUCCCGUCCCACCAGUGGCAAGGGGCGUGCCCACUCCCCGAGCAAGGGGUGCCCCAGCUGUCCCAGGCUACAGACCACCCCCACCACCUGCACACGAGGCCUAUGAAGAAUAUGGAUACGAUGAUGGAUAUGGGGGUGAAUAUGAUGAUCCAAGCUAUGAGGCAUAUGAUAACAGUUAUGCCACCCAAACACAAAGACAGAGAGCUCUGUCCUUCAUGACAGCAGACUGAUUUUUAGGCUGAAAAUAGGGGGAAGGGGUCACUUGCAGAAGAGACUAUGACAGAGUCUUGGGAUCAGACUGGAAUGAAACCCACAAUAAGUCUGCGUGGCUGAAUGAGCUAAGAGGCACUCCAAGAGCACUUUGAAAUGGACAGAAUAAGCAGCUUGAAGACAGAGAGCAGCAGGACCCCUACUAUGCAGGAACUUUAAAGUCUGUUGAACCACCACUGACCAGGAUCCAUGGGCUGAGAACACUAGAGCACCAGCAGAAAAGGAUGAAAAGUUUUGUGAGAGGAUCUACAAGAUCUGCCUUUUUGGUUACUCAGAGGUUGGUAGGGGAUCAGACUGUACUACGUGCAAGGUGUGGCCAAACUCCUCAGCCAAGACCAACAGAAAAAUUUUGCAGAAAUGGAUCGGUUGCUGAUGAAUCAGCUGAGAACUGUGAUGGCCAGCAGAGCCAUCUUCAGCUCUGCUACCACAUCUAUAGUCAUCUCCACUGACCUUUGUAUCUCUGCUGGCACCAGCAGUUUCAUUUCAAAGGGGUACCAUGUCUCACAACCAAAAGAGAUACUAAGGAAAUCUGGGACUGACUGGCCAGUCAUGGGGCAAACCAGGAAGGGUAUGUUCUAUUUAAUCCUCUUGUGCAUAACUUAUCCAACCACAUGUAGUGUUAACAAUGGUGCCUGACAGGGAAAAGCAAAGGAAAUCAAUGAUGGUCCACUGAAGCUUAAAAUUUCAGUUUGAUAUAAUUUCCUUGUUCUACAGUGCCUGGCAUGAACAUUCACACACCAAUCAGUUCUAUUUUUUUCUGAACAGGUAGUUGGUAUACCGGCAAUGGCUUUCAGGGCUGGUUGGCUGGAUUGUUCUUCUGUCUUUUGUUCUGUCUGGCUUUUGUUAAAAAAAUCAUUCAUCUGCAAAAUGAAUUGCUGAGUGGGUGCUUAGUAAAGAAAGAAGAGUCUGUGGCUCUCAUCCUAGGCUGGAAAUAGACUUGCAAAUAUCAGAAAAUCUGUAACAUACUGACAAGAAUAAUAAAUAAUUCAGUGAUAAAAGAUAGAUUAAAAUAGUGCAAAACAUUACUCUUACACAUGCCAUCCCACAGUGACACAAGCCUUCUCAUGACAUCUAUGCUGUGACUGUAAGAUGACAUUUCUCUUGCCUGCCUGGAUCCAGCCACACUAAUGACAGUAACCCAAUUUUAAGGCCUUGAAGUAAUUUCUGGCAAAAUAUUUACUGUUAAUCUUGCAAAUGUUUUAUGUAAUUCUAUAGGCAACAGUCCUCUGGACACACCUUCUAUGCUGCUAUGCAGAUCGUUUUGGGACAAUGACUUCUUUUUAGUCUGUCAAGUGCGCGGUGCAAACCCAUCCUGCAUCUGCUAAGCAAACAACCAAACUUCUGCUUCUGAUGCAGAAAUGCGUGUUACAGGUCAUGUCACUUCUGAACUUCCUCUCUAAAGAGUUAACGGUAACACAGAAUCUAAAUCUUAACAUAAAGGUGAUAUUAAUACAUCUGAAAUAAAUUCUAAGUUUUUACAUUAUCUGAAGGCUACACGUAUUGUGUUAGAUAACUGCCAAAACGAAAUUAUCUUAGAGGACUGAAGAAGAGAGAAAGGAAAGGUGCAGCAUCAGAGAAUUUCAAGUUGACUGGCAUACCUUUCAUCUACCUGAAUUAUAUUUAAACCAAGAGAUACAAUUAUCCGUGGUUCAUACCAAUAGCUGUGCUGUCAUGUGCAAAGAUCCAUUUGGUUCCUGUUUCUCAAUGCUAGUAAAAAAAAAUAUAAUGAGAGAAAAAAGUUUCAGGGCAUAUAUGCUUCCUAUGUCCACUUUCCUGCUAUGGCAGACAGUUGCUAUGACCGCAUCAGUGUAGUAGUAUGCCAGUGACUAUGUGUUCAUAGCAAUACCUAUCAAUUCAACCUGUAAUAGGCUCUGCAAUUCUGAAAAUUUCAAAAUUAGACUAUUGAGAUUGAAUAUAUGACAAGUUAUUGACUUUGAAAAGAAACACUGUUUUCCUGGUUAUUCUUGUGUCCAUUGUUAAGUUCAUGCUGUCUACUGUACAGCUUGUGUUUACAGCUCCUUUUUCUGCAGUGUGGGCUGCUAGUACAGGGGAUCUAGGGAUCACUUAUUUCUGAUUGGAUAUGCAGGAAUAUAACAAGGACCGCAGUUCAGCCUGUGCCACGUAAUUGCUUACAGUACAAUCACUUCAGUGCAGAGACAUGCUGCAAAAUUAUUUAGGAAGUAAAGGAAAGGAUGUUUUUAUCCAGAUGAAUAUCCAGGAAUUAUUUACAUCAGCAGUGUAUAUUUGCUUGAGCUCCAGUUGAUCCUGGUUACCCUUGCUUGACCUCCAGGUAUCAAGACUUUGUACGUACAUCUGUUUGCAAAGAUGAGUUCUUCACAGUGCUGCAAGUAAAAUAACACUUUUAGACUCAUUCACUUGUGAAGACAGCAGUACAUAGUUCUGCUGAACAUACAUGUUCUCUGAUGGACCUACCCAAUAGACUAUUCUUCUCUCCAAGCUCCUUUUGGAUUCAGCAAAAAAUGAUGGCCCUAUGUUUCAGUAACAGAAAUUUAGUAUUAACGUUAGGAGGGAGUGAAGAAUAGUAACAUGGGACUGGAGUGCUUGGUAAUCUCCAUCACCGUAGCUUUUAACACCACAUUAGACAGAUUUCAGUAAAGAAUCAUGUAAAUAAAUUUGUGUGCUUAUAGGUAUCUGAAAAGAUCUAGGUGACAUCUGAGGUCCUUUCUAGCUCUGUUACCUUUUCCCCUUUUUGUUCAGGCAUGACGAGGUUUACUUCAAGAUAACAACACAGCAUAAUCUAAUUGGACUAAGGAAGAUUUUUUGUUACAAAUAAAAAGAAAGUAACCCCAUUUUCAAACUCCAUUUUUAUUUGUGGGGGUUUUAUGACUGAUAGAAAUCUUUUUAGGAACAACUAAAAUAAUUCUCAUGUUUCAAGCACUAAAAAAAGUAAAUGUAUUUUUAAUAGAGUAGGAUAUUGACUUUGUCAUGUUGUGUUAAAUUACAGCAAAUAAUUCUAGUCCAUUCAUUCAGGAUGAUCUCAUAAUAAAGAUAUCGUGUCUUAAUUUUUCACAGGUAACAUUUUCAUCUAGAUACACAAAUGUACGCA